GGAAGGUAAGACAGAGCCGGGAAUGAGAAAACCGGUGCAAGCACAAUAGAUGUGCGGGAGGAAAAACCCCCGCAUAAGUCGAAGGUGUGACGCGGACCGAAAAAGAGUAGGGAAGCUGUUAAGCAAGCCGUCAAGAAAAGCUGCUAUUGUUUCAUUAUGGCCCGUACCGUAAACCGACACAGGUGGAUGGGGAGAGAAUCCUAAGGCCGGCGGAAGAAGUAUUGUUAAGGAACUCGGCAAAAUGACCCCGUAACUUCGGGAGAAGGGGUGCCUGCGAGAGCAGGCCGCAGAGAAGAGGCCCAAGCAACUGUUUAGCAAAAACACAGGUCUAUGCAAAACCGAAAGGUGGGUAUAUGGGCUGACGCCUGCCCGGUGCUGGAAGGUUAAGGGGAGUGGUCAGGAAACGAAGCCACGAACUUAAGCCCCAGUAAACGGCGGCCGUAACAAUAACGGUCCUAAGGUAGCGAAAUUCCUUGUCGGGUAAGUUCCGACCCGCACGAAAGGCGUAAUGAUUUGGGCGCUGUCUCGACAAUACAUCCGGUGAAAUUGAAGUGCCAGUGAAGAUGCUGGCUACCUGCGCCAGGACGGAAGGACCCCAUGGAGCUUUACUCCAGCUUGAUACUGGGACCCGGUAUUGCAUGUACAGGAUAGGUGGGAGGCUAGGAAAUGUGGACGCCAGUCUGCAUGGAGCCGCUGUUGGGAUACCACCCUUGUGGUGCUGGGUUUCUAACCAGAGGCCGUGAACCGGUCUGGGGACAAUGUCAGGUGGGGAGUUUGACUGGGGCGGUCGCCUCCGAAAGGGUAUCGGAGGCGCCCAAAGGUUCCCUCAGAAUGGUUGGAAACCAUUCGAAGAAUGCAAAGGCAGAAGGGAGCUUGACUGCGACACCGACGGGUGGAGCAGGUACGAAAGUAGGGCUUAGUGAUCCGGUGGAAUUUAAGUGGGAAUGCCAUCGCUCAACGGAUAAAAGCUACCCUGGAUAACAGGCUGAUCACUCCCAAGAGUUCACAUCGACGGAGUGGUUUGGCACCUCGAUGUCGGCUCAUCGCAUCCUGGGGCUGAAGUCGGUCCCAAGGGUUGGGCUGUUCGCCCAUUAAAGCGGUACGCGAGCUGGGUUCAGAACGUCGUGAGACAGUUCGGUCCCUAUCCGGCGUGGGCGUAGGAUAUCUGAGAGGAGCUGUCCUUAGUACGAGAGGACCGGGAUGGACUGACCUCUGGUGUACCGGUUGGCGAUCAACGCCACGGCCGGGUAGCCAUGUCGGGACGGGAUAAACGCUGAAGGCAUCUAAGCGUGAAGCCCCCCUCAAGAUGAGAUAUCCCAUCGUAAGAGUAAGACCCCUUGAAGACGACGAGGUUGAUAGGGCAGGGGUGGAAGUGCCGUAAGGCAUGGAGCUGACUGCUACUAAUCGGUCGAGGGCUUGACCG
rnacentral:rRNA from 1 species